rnacentral:misc_RNA from 1 species
AAGAAAUGGAAUUGCACAGGAUGCUUUCAUCUGAGUGAUUAUUCCAAACUUUUGAGUGGUCCAUGCAGUAUCCAUUGGAGCUGUGACUGACUAGUUUGGUGCUUUGGAUAGCUCAAGUUUGUAUAUAUGCUUACUUUUUCUCCUGGUAGAGCAUAAGAACCAUAUUAAACAAUAAGAAGGUGCAUUUUACAUGAAGUACUAGCUAGGUUUGGGCCUUUGGUUGUUGAUUGUGCAUUUUUGGGUAUUUUGUUGUAGCAAAUGAGCCUCCACACUUAGAAAUCAUAUCAUAUAUGUUGUAUAUUGCAGAAGUAUGUUUGUACAUUGUACGUUUACAUGGUGAUCUUACAAAUCAGCCUUGAUGAUCUCCUGAUGUAAAAGUUUGUGAUUUAUGAUUACUUGACAGGCCUUUUACAAUUGGGCUAUAGCA